GGGCGGCCUUUUUAAUGACGGAGAGAGCACAGGGAUUGCCCCAGUAACGGCGAGUGAAGCGGCAACAGCUCAAAUUUGAAAUCUGGCCCCCAGGGCCCGAGUUGUAAUUUGCAGAGGAUGCUUUGGGCGAGGUGCCUUCCGAGUUCCCUGGAACGGGACGCCAUAGAGGGUGAGAGCCCCGUCUGGUCGGACACCGAGCCUGUGUAAAGCUCCUUCGACGAGUCGAGUAGUUUGGGAAUGCUGCUCAAAAUGGGAGGUAUAUGUCUUCUAAAGCUAAAUAUUGGCCAGAGACCGAUAGCGCACAAGUAGAGUGAUCGAAAGAUGAAAAGCACUUUGAAAAGAGGGUUAAAAAGUACGUGAAAUUGUUGAAAGGGAAGCGCCUAUGACCAGACUUGGGCCCGGUGAAUCAUCCAGCGUUCUCGCUGGUGCACUUUGCCGGGCACAGGCCAGCAUCAGUUUGGCGCGGGGGACAAAGGCUUCGGGAAUGUAGCUCCCUCGGGAGUGUUAUAGCCCGCUGCGCAAUACCCUGCGCCGGACUGAGGUACGCGCAUCGCAAGGAUGCUGGCGUAAUGGUCAUCAGCGACCCGUCUUGAAACACGGACCAAGGAGUCGUCUUCGUAUGCGAGUGUUCGGGUGUCAAACCCCUACGCGUAAUGAAAGUGAACGCAGGUGAGAGCUUCGGCGCAUCAUCGACCGAUCCUGAUGUUCUCGGAUGGAUUUGAGUAAGAGCAUACGGGGCCGGACCCGAAAGAAGGUGAACUAUGCCUGUAUAGGGUGAAGCCAGAGGAAACUCUGGUGGAGGCUCGCAGCGGUUCUGACGUGCGAAUCGAUCGUCAAAUAUGGGCAUGGGGGCGAAAGACUAAUCGAACCUUCUAGUAGCUGGUUCGCGU
rnacentral:rRNA from 1 species